UGGUUAAGCAAAGAGAACAUCAAACUGAACUUGUUUUUAUUACUGUGACCAGUGAGAGUGAUCCACUAGCAUUUGAACAAUUUGAUUCUCCUGCCAAGACUAUUCCUAUUUUCUCUUUCCCUCCCGUUUCACCUCAUGUGAUCCCUGGUUGUACAGUUACCAUGUAAAGAACACUCAAGUCGGGCAUUACCAACUCGUCUUUGAAUGUUUGAGAAUUGACUCUGACGAGUGUCUGAAUCUUGCUUGGGUGCUUCACCUUGUGGCGGUUUAAAAAGAAUGCUAGACUUGAAAGCAUUCCCAGAGUGACAAUCCCA
rnacentral:misc_RNA from 1 species